AGCGAACGCUGGCGGCAGGCUUAACACAUGCAAGUCGAGCGGGCGUAGCAAUACGUCAGCGGCAGACGGGUGAGUAACGCGUGGGAACGUACCUUUUGGUUCGGAACAACACAGGGAAACUUGUGCUAAUACCGGAUAAGCCCUUACGGGGAAAGAUUUAUCGCCGAAAGAUCGGCCCGCGUCUGAUUAGCUAGUUGGUGAGGUAACGGCUCACCAAGGCGACGAUCAGUAGCUGGUCUGAGAGGAUGAUCAGCCACAUUGGGACUGAGACACGGCCCAAACUCCUACGGGAGGCAGCAGUGGGGAAUAUUGGACAAUGGGCGCAAGCCUGAUCCAGCCAUGCCGCGUGAGUGAUGAAGGCCCUAGGGUUGUAAAGCUCUUUUGUGCGGGAAGAUAAUGACGGUACCGCAA
rnacentral:rRNA from 1 species